rnacentral:lncRNA from 1 species
CAGGCUGGAGUGCAGUGGGAUGAUCUCGGCUCAUUGAAACCUCCACCUCCAGGUUCAAGCGAUACUCCUGCCUCAGGCUCCCGAGUAGCUGGGACUACAAGUGUGCACCACGAUGCCCAGUUUGUCAAGGAUGUCUGUUCUGUAAGUCAAGGGAAUUUUCUGAAUGAAUAUUCAACUGAAAAUAUUUAAAUAGAAAAGAAGAUGAGUAUGCUGUGUGUGUAUGUACGAGGAGAUGCAGAGUGACACGAAGUAACAAGUAAAGAACAAUAUGAGAAGAGAGACCACUGAAGAAUGAAAAAACUUUGUAUUUUAUCUUUUUAACAGCACAUUUUUUUCAUGCUAUUUGAACAAGGGGCUGCACAUGAUAAUUUUGCCCUGGGCCCUGCAAUUUGGACUACUAGCCCUGAUUUGGGGGGACAUUUUUGUAAACUUAACAGUCUAUUUCCAUAGGCCUUAUAAAUUCUGUGAAGUACCUAAAAUUCCUUUAUUAAUCCCUUUCAUUUAAAAAUAAAUAGAGUGAC